rnacentral:rRNA from 1 species
GAUGAACGCUGGCGGCGCGCCUAACACAUGCAAGUCGAACGGAGUUACUCUGAAUGAAGUUUUCGGAUGGAUUUUGGAUUAACUUAGUGGCGAACGGGUGAGUAACGCGUGAGUAACCUGCCCUGGAGUGGGGGACAACAGUUGGAAACGACUGCUAAUACCGCAUAAGCCCACAGUGCCGCAUGGCACAGCGGGAAAAGGAUUUAUUCGCUUCAGGAUGGACUCGCGUCCAAUUAGCUAGUUGGUGAGGUAACGGCCCACCAAGGCGACGAUUGGUAGCCGGACUGAGAGGUUGAACGGCCACAUUGGGACUGAGACACGGCCCAGACUCCUACGGGAGGCAGCAGUGGGGGAUAUUGCACAAUGGGGGCAACCCUGACCGAGCAACGCCGCGUGAGUGAAGAAGGUUUUCGGAUCGUAAAGCUCUGUUGUAAGAGAAGAACGUGUGUGAGA